CUGGGACCCACAGGAAUUCCCUCCCUUCAGUCCCGGGGGGAGGCGGCCGCGAUCCUGGGGGAGGCGCAGCCUCACAACCCGGACUUUGCGGGCGGGCGGGCACUGGUGAGAAGAGGAAGUGGGAGAGGCCUGGGAAGGAAACUUGGAAACCGAAAACUCGGCGGCCGAGGCUCCGUGCCCCGCGCGCAGCGCUGCUCCUGCCCCGGCCAAGGACGCACGGGCCAGCCGGCGGAACCAGAGUGUCUUUUAUUUUUAUUUUUUAUUUUUUGAGAUAGGCUCUCACUCUUGCCCAGGCUGGAGUGCAGUAGCACGAUUAUGGCUCACUGCAGCCUUGACCUACCAGGCUCAAGCGAUCCUCACACCUCAGCCUCCCAAGCAGCUGGGACUACAGGUGUGUACUACCAUGCCCAGCUGAUUUUUAAUUUUUUGUAGAGACGGCAUCCUACUGUUUCCCAGUUUAAUUAGGCAUAAAUAAAAAGCCACGUGAAGCCUGGAGAUACUGGACAUAGCAGAUUUGUCAAGCCAUUUUUCCCACCACCAGUGCCUGAGCACGACCUCAUUUGUCUUGGUCAAUGAAGCUCAAGGAAGCAUUGCACUUUGGCUUCCGCUUUAAGUUUUGUAUGUUGAUAUGUAUCCCAUGUCUUCUAACAAUAAAGUGCUAUUUCACUGACA
rnacentral:lncRNA from 10 species